UACGUAGGGUGCAAGCGUUGUCCGGAAUUAUUGGGCGUAAAGAGCUCGUAGGCGGUCUGUCGCGUCUGCUGUGAAAUCUCGGAGCUUAACUCCGAAACUGCAUUCGAUACUGCCGUGCUUGAGGACUGGAGAGGAGACUGGAAUUUACGGUGUAGCGGUGAAAUGCGUAGAUAUCGUAAGGAAGACCAGUGGCGAAGGCGGGUCUCUGGACAGUUCCUGACGCUGAGGCACGAAGGUCAGGGGAGCAAACGGG
rnacentral:rRNA from 1 species